GUGUUCUAGUUUCAGCUGCACAUAUACUAAAAUUGGAACAACAACGAGAAGAUUAGCAUGGCCUCUCGUGAAACUAUGAAAUAACUAUACAUACAAAUUAAACAAUAAUUU
ensembl:snRNA U6 U6 spliceosomal RNA